GCAGGUUAAUGGGAUUUAAAUUGUGAAAUUUCAGUAAAAUCUGAACCAAAUUAUAUACAUGUCAUCUAGUUUAAUGGUUGGAGCACAUAUUCGGAUCGGAUAUAAAAACACUGGGAAUCAAGACAAUUAUAAAUGACCCAUAUAAUUAGAACAUUGGUUAAAAGUUAAUAAAUAAUUAAUAACGAUUAUAAAAAUAAUAUUUAAAACUAUUUUUUUUAAAUCAUAUUUUUUUUCUUUUAUCGAUCAGUAUUCUAAUAUUAGAAAAUUAUCAGUAAUAAAAAUAAAAUAAUAAAACAUAACAAUAAAAUUUUGUUUUUUUCUAUCACUACUUUUUUCAUUUUCUUAAUAUGACAUAGUAUUUUUUUCGAAAUUCAAAGAAUCACAAUUCAAAUUGUUUAUUCAAUUUCAUGUACUUUUUAAAAUAUGUAGGAAAUUUACUCAUUUUAAAAUACUGUCAGAUUUAUUUUCGUUUUAUCGAGUCAACCAGCGCCAGUGAAGGGUUAUUAGCGAUUUUAGGAUUUUAAAAAGGUUUAAUGGUGUUUUUAAAUUGCGGAAUUUUAGUUAAAUCCAAAACUAAUUAUAUACAUGUCAUCUUAUUUAGCGAUUUGUCCAUGAAUUCAGAUUGGAUAUGAGAACAA
rnacentral:lncRNA from 1 species